rnacentral:rRNA from 1 species
GAUGAACGCUGGCGGCGUGCCUAAUACAUGCAAGUCGAGCGAACAGACGAGGAGCUUGCUCCUCUGACGUUAGCGGCGGACGGGUGAGUAACACGUGGAUAACCUACCUAUAAGACUGGGAUAACUUCGGGAAACCGGAGCUAAUACCGGAUAAUAUAUUGAACCGCAUGGUUCAAUAGUGAAAGACGGUUUUGCUGUCACUUAUAGAUGGAUCCGCGCCGCAUUAGCUAGUUGGUAAGGUAACGGCUUACCAAGGCAACGAUGCGUGGCCGACCUGAGAGGGUGAUCGGCCACACUGGAACUGAGAAACGGUCCAGACUCCUACGGGAGGCAGCAGUAGGGAAUCUUCCGCAAUGGGCGAAAGCCUGACGGAGCAACGCCGCGUGAGUGAUGAAGGUCUUCGGAUCGUAAAACUCUGUUAUUAGGGAAGAACAAAUGUGUAAGUAACUAUGCACGUCUUGACGGUACCUAAUCAGAAAGCCACGGCUAACUACGUG